GUGCAUUGGAAUGGAAAACUUGCAUAAGUAAUGUUAUGGGAGCAAUUACGAUUAACAUAUUUGUGCUGUCUUUGUAGCAAUUAUGGUGUUUUAUGGGUUAAAACCAAAUCUGCCAGAAUACAUGUCCAGUUUAUAACUGAAGUUAAUUGUAAUAAUCUUCCUGUAUCUGUCUAUUUAUCUACUAACUGUUCGUUUUGUGGGUUUUUUUGUCUUUCUGGUGAAACUUGAAUAGCAUUCUGUCUAGUAAGGUAAAACAAUCAGUAGAAAGUCAUUGCAAAUACUUAAAAAUAUUGCCUCUUUGAAAAUUUACCAUGUAAAUUGUCACCCUCUCUGGAUUACCAGCUGUUAUUCAACUCUAUAAUGCGUCUGCCACCUUUGAGAGGCUGAUGGAGCGGCUGCUUACAGAUUUGUUGAAAAUUGCACAGACUAUCCAAACUUCCUUGUCCAUGCUCCUGGCUUAAAUGGCACACUCUCCCACCUGGCUGUGGUUUUUGUACUGGUCUCCAGCUCCACCCCUACAAGUACAGCCUCAUGCAGUGUACACCACUGCACUUCAGAGCCUUCUGGGUCAGGCCUCCCACAGCUGUGAUAUGCAUUGUCAGCAUCACUGGACCAACCCACCACUUAAAGACUGCAAAACGAAAAGAAAGAGUCAAGCAAUCGCCCAGGUGGGCGUUCCUCCUUUCAGUGUUGGGGUUGAAAGCAUUACCAACAGUUGUCUGUCGAGUCAGAUAAGGAGGAAAUUGCUUAGUAUAGUGACCAACUCUGCAGAAAUUAGGGAAACUGCUGUGCUUGUAGCUAGGCAGAUGGAGGCGCUUCAAGACUACAGGCUCCCCAUUCCACAUUUGGAAUGUCUGUGCUAAAGACAACUGCAGGCAAGAGAGCCAGAGGAAGAGGUUCUUUUACAGCACUGGAAAAGGGGGCUCUCCCUCAAAGCUGGGGAGACACCUGCACUGCUAUUCCUUGCUUGUCAGACCCUUUGUGGAAGGGCAGAGGAAUAUGUCUAUAAAACAGGUGCAGAGGUGUUGCAAGAUACAAGUAUGCUCAGUAUAGAUACGUAUAUGUAAAUGAAAAGUUGUGUGGCAUUAACUACAGGCUCUGAGAUUCAGGGGGUGUGACAGGCAAAGCUGUGCUUGUAUGUGCCAUCGCCUACCAUUAAAAGGACAUCUGUUGUUGUUUAGUUAGUGAAAUGUUUCUGUGUGUUGACUGCUUUACUGUAUUUUGUUGUGGGUAAAUAAGUGUGGUUCAUGUGUUUACUGUCAGUGGGUGAUGUAAUAUUGUUCAGAGCUGGUUAGUGAGUGGUACUGUAUCUGGGAAGAAGCCUUUUGAUUAGUGCAGCAAGAGAAAGAGAAGACAGUAGUGCGUCUUGCUAUGAUGAUUGCUAUAGGAGUGACAAGGAUGGACAAGAUUAGAAAUGAGCAGAUCAGAGGGACAGUGAAGGUGGAGCAGUUUGGAGAUAAAGCCAGAGAGGCCAGGUUGAGAUGGUUUGGACAUGUGUUGAGGAGGAACAGAGGAUAUAUUGGGCAAAGAAUGUUGGAGAUGGAGCUGCCGGGUAGAAGGAGAAGAGGUAGACCUCAGAGAAGGUUUAUGGAUGUAGUGAAGGUGGACAUGGAGAUGGUUGGUGUGAAAAUAGAGGAGGCAAAUAAUAGGACAUGAUGGAGGCAGAUGAUCCGCUGUGGCAACCCCUAAAGGGAGCAGCCGAAAGAAGAAGAAGAAGAAGAAGAAGAAGAAGAAGAUUCGUUUGUUACUGUAAUUUUAGCAUUUUCCAGAAAGUAAACUUCUUUAAUUUCGCAACUUCUUUUUUUUUUUAAUUGCUUCUUCUUUUUUUUCAUUUAUUAGUCUCCUCAUGUACUCACAAGAGAACUUUUACCCCAAUUAACUGCUGUACCAACUUUCCCUUUUGCUCUUUUCAGUCUCCAUUUGCUUGAGAACUGUUUAUUGUGAGAUAUCAGCGGAGAUGAGGAGACAUUUAAAAUUAAGUUUGCACGUGAGUUGUGUAACUUAGGGGGUUUCCAAACCUGCUCUGACUCACAGUUUACACAACUGAUUACACAAGCGGCCCACAGGAAGAUUUAACCACGCUGGUGAUUUCAACGGUCAGCGUAUCUCAUUUCACAUCAAUGCUUCAUCAUGCACACAGAAACAGGUGGUGACCAGGAUAAGAAAGAUCCACAAUGAUCUUCUCCACUUGACUAUUUGUACUGGACUCAAGCUUGUUUUGGACAGAUGGCAGACUACACUGGAGGAUUCUUUCAGAAGUUUGGAUGAUGCGUUUACAUUUUGUUUACAGUUAUGAAUGAGGCCAGGCUGGACCUUCUAUUUGUCCUCAUGGUCUAUUGGAUGAAGCUACAAAAUGGCUUGUUGUUUAGGUCAUAAAUGUUUGCGACACAUUUGCACCACAAAAAUAAAUUUCUUCAUCUUUUGUUUGAGUGUUAUGGUGGCUGGCAAAAAAAACAAAAAAAA
ensembl:lncRNA